CCUACAGGUGGCAGCAGUGAGGAAUAUUGCUCACUGGGCUUACGCCUGAACCAGCCAAGUCGCGUGAGGGAAGACUGCCCUAUGGGUUGUAACCCUCUUUUGUCAUGGAGCAAUUGGCGCUACGUGUAUCGUUAUCGAGAGUACCUGACGCACCCGCCUCGGCUAACUCCGUGCCAGCACCCGCGGUAUUCCGGAGGAUGCGUGCUUUAUCCGGAUUUAUUGGGUUUACAGGGUGCGUAGUCGGACUGCCAAGUCAGAGGGAACAUCGCGGGUGUAAACCCCGCUCUGCCGUUGAAACUGGCGGUCUUGAGUGGGCGAGAAGUAGGCGGAAUGCGUGGUGUAGCGGUGAAAUGCAUAGAUAUCACGCAGAACGCCGAUUGCGAAGGCAGCAUACCGGCGCCCAACUGACGCUGAAGCACGAAAGCGUGGGGAUCGAACAGGAUUAGAUACCCUUGUAGUC
rnacentral:rRNA from 1 species